rnacentral:rRNA from 1 species
UACAGAGGUCCCAAGCGUUGUUCGGAUUCACUGGGCGUAAAGGGUGCGUAGGUGGUGAGGUAAGUCGGAUGUGAAAGCUCGGAGCUCAACUCCGAAAUGGCAUUGGAAACUACCUUGCUCGAGGGUUGGAGGGGGGGCUGGAAUUCUCGGUGUAGAGGUGAAAUUCGUAGAUAUCGAGAGGAACACCGGUGGCGAAGGCGGCGAUCUGGACGAUGACUGACGCUGAGACGCGAAAGCGUGGGGAGCAAACAGG